rnacentral:rRNA from 1 species
CCCGGCAGCUAGCUCUCUGCAACCCUCACAUGGUGGCCCACUGAAGCUAAGCAGGGCUGCGCCUGGUCAGUAACCAGGAUGGGAAACCACAUGGAAAAGCUAGAUUGCUGCUGGAA